GAUGAACGCUGGCGGCGUGCCUAACACAUGCAAGUCGAGCGUGAAAUCUUGGAAUGAUACUUCGGUAAAGUGAAGAGAUGGAAAGCGGCGGACGGGUGAGUAACGCGUAGGUAACCUGCCCCAUACAUAGGGAUAGCCUAGGGAAACCUGGAUUAAUACCUGAUAAUGCGAGGAGGCCACAUGGCCACUUCGCCAAAGAUUCAUCGGUAUGGGAUGGACCUGCGUCUGAUUAGCUAGUUGUGGGUAACGGCUACCAAGGCACGAUCAGUAGCCGACCUGAGAGGGUAAUCGGCCACAUUGGAACUGAGACACGGUCCAAACUCCUACGGGAGCAG
rnacentral:rRNA from 1 species